rnacentral:rRNA from 1 species
UAGGGAAUCUUCGGCAAUGGACGGAAGUCUGACCGAGCAACGCCGCGUGAGUGAAGAAGGUCUUCGGAUCGUAAAGCUCUGUUGUUAGAGAAGAACGCUGGUAGGAGUGGAAAAUCUACCAAGUGACGGUAACUCACCAGAAAGGGACGGCUAACUACGUGACAGCAGCCCUGGUAAUACGUAGGUCCCGAGCGUUGUACGAAUUUAUUGGGCGUAAAGCGAGGGCAGACGGUUCUUUAAGUCUGUAGUUAAAGGCAGUGGCUUAACCAUUGUACGCUUUGGAAACUGGAGGAGUUGAGUGCAGAAGGGGAGAGUGGAAUUCCAUGUGUAGCGGUGAAAUGCGUAGAUAAAUGAAGGAACGCCGUUGGCGAAAGCUGCUUACUAGUCUGUAACUGACGCUGAGGAUCGAAGGCGUGGGGGGUAAAGAGA